rnacentral:lncRNA from 1 species
CCUCCUGCUGAGUCAUAGUGAAGAUCUGUGCUGGAGCUGAUGGACCUUCACCCCUGAAAUCCGCUGAAGAAGAGGCUGCCCCUCUCCCUCUGCCUCUGCCAUUAGCCUGAGUCGUGGCUGGAGCUGCUGGCUUAGCCAUACUACCAGAAGCUGUCUGCUGGGACUGUGCCACAAAAGCUGCUCUAGGACACUCCCGUGCCAUGUGUCCCUCCUGCCCACAUCUGAAGCAGGCUGUCGUCCCAAACCGACAUACUCCUUUGUGCGGCUUCCCACACUUCAUAUAUACUGCAUUAUCUGCACCUGAGCUCGAGCCACUUCCUAAUCCCAGACCUGACUUGAUCUUAUUCCAUAACUUGUUCUUCUUUG